rnacentral:rRNA from 1 species
AUUGAACGCUGGCGGCAUGCCUUACACAUGCAAGUCGAACGGCAGCACGGGAGCAAUCCUGGUGGCGAGUGGCGAACGGGUGAGUAAUAUAUCGGAACGUGCCCAGUCGUGGGGAUAACGUAGCGAAAGCUACGCUAAUACCGCAUACGAUCUAUGGAUGAAAGCGGGGGAUCGCAAGACCUCGCGCGAUUGGAGUGGCCGAUAUCAGAUUAGGUAGUUGGUGAGGUAAAGGCUCACCAAGCCGACGAUCUGUAGCUGGUCUGAGAGGACGACCAGCCACACUGGGACUGAGACACGGCCCAGACUCCUACGGGAGGCAGCAGUGGGGAAUUUUGGACAAUGGGCGCAAGCCUGAUCCAGCAAUGCCGCGUGCAGGAUGAAGGCCUUCGGUU